rnacentral:rRNA from 1 species
AUUGAACGCUGGCGGCAGGCUUAACACAUGCAAGUCGAGCGAGCGGCGGACGGGUGAGUAAUGUAUGGGAAACUGCCUGAUAGAGGGGGAUAACUACUGGAAACGGUAGCUAAUACCACAUACCAUCAGAUGUGCCCAGAUGGGAUUAGCUAGUGGGUGGGGUAAAGGCUCACCAAGGCGACGAUCCGUAGCUGGUCUGAGAGGAUGACCAGCCACACUGGAACUGAGACACGGCCCAGACUCCUACGGGAGGCAGCAGUGGGGAAUAUUGCACAAUGGGGGAAAGCCUGAUACAGCCAUGCCGCGUGUGUGAAGAAGGCCUUCGGGUUGUAAAGCACUUUCAGCGAGGAAGCGUUACCUGCAGAAGAAGCACCGGCUAACUCCGUGCCAGCAGCCGCGGUAAUUC